GCUUAGUUAGCUUGGUUGGUAACGCGUGUGCCUUCUAAGCGCUAGGCUGCGAGUUCGAUUCCCGCACGGGGCG
rfam:Asian citrus Psyllid, Diaphorina citri - Florida Strain, whole genome shotgun sequence.